rnacentral:rRNA from 1 species
UACGGAGGAUGCGAGCGUUAUCCGGAUUUAUUGGGUUUAAAGGGUGCGUAGGCGGGAUGCCAAGUCAGCGGUAAAAAUGCGGUGCUCAACGCCGUCGAGCCGUUGAAACUGGCGUUCUUGAGUGGGCGAGAAGUAUGCGGAAUGCGUGGUGUAGCGGUGAAAUGCAUAGAUAUCACGCAGAACUCCGAUUGCGAAGGCAGCAUACCGGCGCCCUACUGACGCUGAGGCACGGAAGCGUGGGUAUCGAACAGG